rnacentral:rRNA from 1 species
CAAUAGCGUAUAUUAAAGUUGUUGCAGUUAAAAAGCUCGUAGUUGGAUUUCUGGUAGGAGCGACCGUGCCGAACUUGAUUGUUCGAGUAUUGUGUUGUCUUCAGCCAUCCUCGUGGAGAACUUUCCUAACAUUAACUUGUUGGGAUUGGGACCCGCGUCGUUUACUGUGAAAAAAUUAGAGUGUUUAAAGCAGGCAUUAGCUUGAAUACAUUAGCAUGGAAUAAUAAGAUAGGACUUUGGUACUAUUUUGUUGGUUUGCAUACCAAAUUAAUGAUCAACAGGAACAGUUUGAGGAUAUUCGUAUGAACAUGUCAGAGGUGAAAUUCUUGGAUUUUGAUCAGACGAACUACUGCGAAAGCAUUUAUCAAGGAUGUUUUCAUUAA